AAUAUUGGACAAUGGGGGCAACCCCGAUCCAGCCAUGUCGCGUGUGUGAAGAAGGUCUUCGGAUUGUAACGCUCUUUAAGUGGGGAGGUAGGGCUUUAGGCUAAUACCCUGAUGUUGUGACGUUACCAACAGACUACGCACCGGCUAACUCUGUGCCAGCAGCUGCGGUAAUACACAGGGUGCAAACGUUAAGCGGAAUUACUGGGAGUAAAGCGCGCGUAUGUGGUUCUGUAAGAUGGGUGUGAAAUCCCCGGGCUUAACCUGGGAACUGCUUUCAUAACUGCUGAGCUAGAGUACGGUAGAGGGUAGUGGAAUUUCCUGUGUAGCGGUGAAAUGCGUAGAUAUAGGAAGGAACACCAGUGGCGAAGGCGACUACCUGGACUGAUACUGACACUGAGGUGCGAAAGCGUGGGGAGCAAAC
rnacentral:rRNA from 1 species